UUUUCAUAUAUCUCUCUGUUGCCAUUGGAGGAGCUGGAAGGAAGAGGAACAUCGGUGACGAUUGGAGCUCGGAGGAGGAAGGGAAGCAUCAGCGUGAACUGGCGGAUUAGAGGUGGUACUAUCGGAGGCUGUCAGUUGGAUGCUUGCAUUAUAGCAUUUUUG